rnacentral:rRNA from 1 species
UACGUAGGCAGCGAGCGUUGUUCGGAUUUACUGGGCGUAAAGCGUGCGUAGGCGGUGGACCAAGUCUGGUGUGAAAUCUCCCGGCUCAACCGGGAGGGUGCGCCGGAAACUGGUUCGCUGGAGUGCGGGAGAGGCAAGCGGAAUUCCAGGUGUAGCGGUGAAAUGCGUAGAUAUCUGGAGGAACACCCGUGGUGCAGACGGCUUGCUGGACCGUGACUGACGCUGAGGCACGAAAGCGUGGGUAGCAAACAGG